rnacentral:tRNA from 1 species
UAGAUUGAAGCCAGUUGAUUAUGGUGUUUAGCUGUUAACUAAAAGUUUGUAGGUUUGAAUCCUAUCGAUCUAG